AAAACCCAACGCAUAUAUAUAGCCAUGCAUAGCCCUGGACGGCUAAUCAAUUGUAGCUCUGAACACACAAUGGAGUCAACUCAGUUCGUCUCUUUGUCGUCAACUCGCAGUAAUAUAUAAGACUGUAGUAAUGGAUCAAAACAACGAAAAUGCUCUAGGAGAUGAUGUAGCAAGCCUGAAAUUCGACCAACCACGAAUGAGGGAGCAUCUGUACAAAUGCUUGCAUCAGAAGAAAAUGACAGGUUUUCCGCAAUGCGCCCAAACAACUGCUAGACGCACUCCUAGACUUCGCCGUACCUACAUAGAAAUUUGCCGCAACUGUUUCAUGCCAGAAGAAUGCGAUGAUACCGUGCGGUGUCAAAAUUGUGAGGACUGGUUUCACGUUGGUUGUCUUCAACAUGAUCUACCACAACAAAGUGACAAAUGGCGCUGUGACAACUGUUUCUAAGAACGCUGUAACUACAGUAGACGAUAAAGAGUCACUUGCUUUAACGAAUUUAAUUAAAAUAGAUGUUUUCAGUCGCAAAUUUAAUUAGACUACAAACACGCAAUUUGUAACAUGUCAAUUUGUUAGAAAUUUAGCACAAAAACGCAAACUGUAAAAUAAAGUUUAAAGUGUCACAAUUUUA